UACGUAGGGUGCGAGCGUUGUCCGGAAUUAUUGGGCGUAAAGGGCUCGUAGGCGGUUUGUCGCGUCGGGAGUGAAAUCCACUGGCUUAACUGGUGGCUUGCUUUCGAUACGGGCAGACUGGAGGUAUGCAGGGGAGAACGGAAUUCCUGGUGUAGCGGUGAAAUGCGCAGAUAUCAGGAGGAACACCGGUGGCGAAGGCAGCUCGCUGGGACGUUACUGACGCUGAGACGCGAAAGCGUGGGGAGCGGACAGG
rnacentral:rRNA from 1 species